GAGCACGUAGGUGGGUUUGUAAGUCAGACGUGAAAGCCUUCUGUUCAACGGAAGAAUUGCAUCUGAAACUACAAACCUUGAGUGUAGGAGGGGAGAAUGGAACUUCUGGUGGAGCGGUGAAAUGCGUAGAUAUCAGAAGGAACGCCGGCGGCGAAAGCGAUUCUCUGGCCUAUUACUGACACUCAGUGUGCGAAAGCUAGGGGAGCAAACGGGAUUAGAUACCCCGGUAGUCCUAGCCGUAAACGAUGGGCACUAAGUAGAGGGAAUUACCGAUAUUCUCUCUGCCGUAGCUAACGCAUUAAGUGCCCCGCCUGGGGAGUACGGCCGCAAGGCUAAAACUCAAAAGAAUUGACGGGGGCUCGCACAAGCGGUGGAGCAUGUGGCUUAAUUCGAUGCAACGCGAAAAACCUUACCGGGGCUUGACAUGGUAGAAGUAGGAACCCGAAAGGGUAACGAACGGUAUUCAGUCCGUGGCUAUCACAGGUGUUGCAUGGCUGUCGUCAGCUCGUGUCGUGAGACGUUGGGUUAAGUCCCCUAACGAGCGAAACCCUUGUUUUUAGUUGCCAGCGGGUUAUGCCGGGCACUCUAGAAAGACUGCCGUCGUCAAGACGGAGGAAGGUGGGGAUGACGUCAAGUCAUCAUGGCCCUUAUGCCCCGGGCUGCACACGUGCUACAAUGGUCGGUACAAACGGAAGCGAAGCCGAGAGGUGAAGCGAAUCC
rnacentral:rRNA from 1 species